rnacentral:lncRNA from 1 species
UCCACCCAUCUCAAACAAGCUUAAACGCACUACUACUUCUUGAGCCUUUUCCACUCCACAAAACAAAAUGGCUCCAAGAACCUCCCUUGCACUCUUCCUUUCUCUCAACCUCCUCUUCUUCACUUUCACCUCUGCGACCACAGGUACUUGUCCUAGAGACGCCCUCAAGAUCGGUGUUUGCGUCAGUGUGCUCAACAUAGUGGACCUAACAUUGGGAAACCCACCCGUACAGCCAUGCUGCUCUCUCAUCCAAGGCUUAGCUGACCUUGAGGCUGCUGUCUGCCUUUGCACUGCUCUCAAGGCUAGCGUUCUUGGAAUCAACCUUAACCUUCCCAUCAACCUCAGCGUUCUCCUCAAUGUUUGCGGUAGAAAAGCUCCAACCAACUUCCAGUGCGCUUAAGUUAAAAAUGAAGUUAUGGCAAAAAAAAAAAAAAAAAAAAAAAAAAAAAAAAUCAAUAAUCAACAAUCAAUAAUCAUAUAUACAAUGUAUGAAUAAUAAAUGAAUAAUCAUACAAUGUAUGAAUACUUGAAACCGUUAUCUUAUCUUCUUGUCUUUAUUUUAAGGUGAUUUCUUUUUUUCUUUGCAUUUGUAUUUGUAUUUGUCGUGGAUUGUUGGAAACUAACGUAUGAACGUUCUCAUGCAAUUACCCAAUAUUGGGUUUUGUGUGUAGUCGGCAAGUUUUUUCCUCCUUUGCUUCAUUGUUCCUCCAUCUCUUCUUUGUAAUUGUGUCCUUCGACGUUUAUUAAUAAAAGUAUCCAUCUUUAUGUUUUUUUUGUCUAUAUUGGUUAUCGAGUAUUUAUGCAUGUCUAUCUUAUAAACCAAGAUAAAAAGAUAAUAUUACAUACAUGAUACAUAUAUAUACCACAAAAACAUGUCUUGGCUAGUAUUACCUUAGCUUGUAAGCAUUAAGACAUGUAACAUCCAUUGCCUAUACCAUGCAAGAAUGGUGGGGAAUUUUUUUUUUUUUUUUCAAACUAGAUAAGAAUGUGUACAAGAUAAAUUCUUCAAACAGACAGCACUUGCAAACUUGGGAGAUAGUUUAAAAUAAAGAACUACUAAAUGUAUUUUUUUAUUUUUUUUAUUUUUUUUAACUACUAAAUGUAUUGUAAUGUGUUAGACGUAAUAUACAUAGUAGUCAAAAUAUAUUUUGACAUAGAAUUUAGAACUUUUUGCCAAAUAUCAAAGGCUUUAAAAGUAGUAGAUAAUGUAAUUACUAAUAAGUUAAAAAAUCAUAAUUAAGUUGGUAAUCGAUUUUUGGCUUGACUUGGGACGAAAAAUGUAAUUUUUUCUUAACAAGUCACUGGUAUAUAUUUUUUGAGAACUAAACCUUGAGUUUUACUUAUAUGAAUAGUUAAAAGUCACAAUUUUGUAUUCACUUUAUUACUGUUUAUGAUCAUUGAUUUUUUUUCCAUUACUAACUGUAUUUAGUCUUACAGAAAUUAAUGUGUUUUUAUUCUUUUUUUGUAAGAAAAUCUAUAAUGUAGUAACCGGAAAAAUUCAAAUGAAAACAUAUGCAUGGUGAUAUUAAAAUCUAGGUUCAUUAAGAAAUAACUUUGCUUUUUGAUAGGAUCUUGUAAGAAUUAAUUUUGCCUUAUCAACAAGACGAUGAUCACUACUACAGUAUAUAUAUAUAUAUAUAUAUAUAUUACUUGCCGUUAUUUUAUUUUGUAGUAUAUUUUGUCGUUAAUAUAAUAAAAGGAUCUCGCACAUACAUCUCAUUCAACACAUAUACAUGAUUUAUUUACCAAAAAAUAAAAUAUAUACAUGAAUAUUUCGUUAUAACAACUCUAACAAUGAUUAUAUAUUAUUCAUACUGGACAUGCUUUCAAAUUUAAAUUUUGCGCAAAACUGCAAUUGGCCAAAAUUUAAUCUAGACGAGUUAUGGUUUGAUUAAGUCCAACCAUUUGAGACUACCAAAUAGUAUUAUUACAUGGAAAUGAAUUAAUAAACUUUGUCUUCGUCUGACUAAAUGAUGAUUUAAAAAUAAUGACAAAGGGAUUCGUUAAAUAUAUAUAUCACAUGCACAAUGCAUGGAGGAAUAAAAAAACUCAUUCCAAUUUCGAUGUGCUUAAUUAACAUAAAUAGAUGUUUAAAUGAUAAAUAGCAGGUUUUAAAAAAACUUGUGAUACCUAGAUAUACAUAAUGUUUUCUUAGAACUUGGUAUUAUACUACUAAUUAACUUUGAUACACUAAUUACUAACGUAAUAACUAAUAACAUAACUCUGUACUCCAACUAACCAAGAAAUCAUAAGAUCGAUUGGCAGCUGAUACAAGUAAAUCAUAAAUGGCUGGCUUGAGCUUAAUUAAAAGAUGAAUGUGAUUCAUAUAAUAUAAAAAUUCGUGAGUUGUCUAGUUAAUUAGUUUAGAAGAUCGACUUCAACCACCAAAUUGUUUUUAUAGAUAUACAAAUUAAAACCAUAUACUCUUAAAGAUUACCAGCUAAUUUGAACAAUGACAAUUAAGUGGUUUUUAAUAAUCAAAUCAUAUCUAUAAGAAAUAAGCCAACUAAUAAUUCAAAUUAUCAAUUAAACCUUCACAUUUCUCUCCUAAUGAAAACCCUAUAAAUACCCACUAAACACUUAACAUUUUUCUCCACACAUCUCAUACAAACUUAAACGCACUACUACUUCUUGAGCCUCUUCGACCUCACAAACCAAUGGCUCCAAGAACUUCCCUUGCACUCUUCCUUUCUCUCAACCUCCUCUUCUUCACUUACACCUCUGCGGCCACCCCGAGCAGACAGACUUGUCCUAGAGAUUCCCUACAGCUCGGUGUUUGCGCCAAUGUACUCAAGCUAGUGGACCUAACAUUGGGAAACCCACCUGUAAAGCCAUGCUGCUCUCUCAUCCAAGGCUUGGCUGACCUUGAAGCUGCUGUCUGCCUCUGCACUAUGCUCAAGGUUAACCUUCUUGGGAUCAACCUUAAUCUUCCCAUCGAUCUCAGCGUUCUCCUCAAUGUUUGCAGUAGAAAAGCUCCAAAGAACUUCCAGUGCGCGUAAGUUGAAUAGUGUUUAUGAAGUCUUGGACCUAUUUUCUUAUCUUCUUGUUUUAUGGUAAGGUGAUUUCGUUUUGUAAUUUUCUUGAAUUGUUUAAGUGAACGUACGUUCUCAUGCAAUAAUGGAUAAUGCAUGCAUGGGUUUGUGUAUACAAUACAUGUAUUUGGCAAGUUUGUACUCCUUUACUUCAUUGUUACCCCGUCCCUUCUUUGUAAUCUAUUUUUCGAAUUUGAUAUAAUAAAUUCACUUCUUACCAUAAUUAAAUUUUAACAUUAUAACUUAAAAAGCCCUAUUGGAAAAAAUAAUUAAAAUGCCCUAUCUGUUCUUCUUACAAAAGAUGCUUGGAAGCUCGAUGUUUAACUUGUUGAAUGUGACCAUCCUGUCUCUAUAUAUCUGAAGACCCAAUAGAAAAAUCAAGACUCUUACUCAAUUUUUCUUUUUCCAAUAUAAGAGAUUUUUACCAUAAGAAAUUUUCAAAAUUUUAUUUAUUUUGGAUCCAUAGCAAAUGCCUAGGUGCAACCUCAUUGACGGUUUGGUUGAAUCAGAUUAUGCGGUUUGUCUUUGCACCGUGAGUAAAGCUAAAAUUCUAAAACUUGUCGAUUGCAGCAGAAUGGUUUCCAAUGCCCUUAAUUUGAAAACGUAAAUUUCUAAAACUUGGUUCAUAGACUUAUUUAUAAAUAUGAAAGUUGUUUUCCCAUCAAAUAUAACCAUAUAUAAGAUUGAUAAACAGAAACCAAUAGCUGGUUAAACCUUAAAAAAACGAGAAAUUAACAAGAAUUUAUUUAGUAAACUAUUUUACGAGUGGCCAUUUCUCUUUUAAUAGUAUAGAUUUCCAACACACACAAAAAAAUGUUCUAACUUUAUAUCUUGACUUAAUUUCACUAUAAAAUCCCUAAUAUUAAUUUUGUCUCAGUUCGAUUGGAUCAAUUUCAAACCGUGAAAAUUCCAUGUCUACUCAAUCCAUUUAAUCUCUAGUCGGUUGUCGAAAAAAAAUAUUAUAAUCUCUAGUCGGCAAAAUUUUGGUUUGAUCUCAAUUGGAUUUCUGAUUCAAAAUUAAUUAACAGUGAGUAAAUUAAUGGCAAUUUCCUUAUAUAUAAUGUUAAGUCUCCAGAGUUCAAAAAGAACAAUUGGUUUUUUAUUUUAACAUGGUAUCAAAGUCUAUAUUUGAUCUUAUAUUCUUUUUCAUUUUGAAAAAUCACAUAUUCUUUAUUUAAUGUUUCGCUUUUUUUUUGCUCAUUUUAAAUUAUAACCUAAUAUAAUUAAGAGAACAUCAAUACUCUAUUAUUGUAUAUGCGACCCGAUGAUAAUUCAAAAGAAUACCGGUAGUCUAUUGUUAUAUACUGUAUAUGUGAAGUUAUUUAGGAUUUAUGAUUUAAAGUUAUAGCGAGUUUGCAAUAUGAUUUGUUAACGAAUAUUAUUAAAUGUGAAGCAUGUUUUCUUUGGUAACAAAUAAUAUACUAUACAAACCUAAGCGUCAGAAUUUUGGUAUACAAUAAUAUUGGUUAUGUGAAUCAAAUCUUCGGACAUCCCAAAUAUAACGGGUCAACUUUCAAAAAGAAAUAUAUUCAGCAAAAGUUCAACUUGGUUCUCACUUAACCGAAUACAAACCUGAAAUGCCUAACGAGAGAACAAACUUGAAAGCUGAAACAUUAGAGCAAAAAUACAAACUUAACGAAGUUUGAUAGAUCAUGUUUAACGAAGUUGUCAAAGCGGUGUAUGGUAGGCAAAGCUGUGAUGGAAACCCUUUUCAAAAGUCUUUUCACCACUGACUGUAAAGGAAGUCACCAUUUGAAUAUUAUUGUUAUGAUCACUAAUGUUAUGCCAUUAUAUAUUACCUGUAGCUUUAUGUAUAGUCUUACAAAUAUGUGAUAUAUAGUAUUUAUAUUUGAUGCACUAACCGAAAAUUUCAGAUAUAAACUUCUUUCAUUUUUGACGUCUUUUUAGAUAGAUUAUGUAGUUAAUAAAAAGAAUAUAAUUGACCAAUAAAUACAUCAAUUUUAUAGUAAAGAAUGAUUUUCGCAUGAUGAUUAUAUAUUAUUAAUUGUAAGCCUUUCCAUGGAAUUACUAAAUUCUCGAUAUCUCUUAUAGUCAGCUAGCUACACGUGAGCCAUACACUAUUUGCAUGUUCGACCAUUAUUUUAUUAAUCGGAAUAUAACAAAAGAUGCCAUUAUUAAUUCACGAAACCAUAUGUUAUUUAUUCAGAGAAAAAAAUAUCCAAGUGGUAAGAUCUCGCACAUACCUGAUCAUUCAAUAUAAAUCAUUGAAAUGUAUUAUCCGAAAGAGAAAUAAUAACGAUGAUUUUGUCGUUAAAUAACUUAAUAAGUAAAAGUCAUUUGCUAAUAAAAACAUUUCACAUAAGAUUUUUCUAUAAUUAAAAAAAAUUAUCAAAAAAAGAUGCAACUUCUCCCAUCUUGUUUCUAAUUCUUUUUAUAUCUAUUUAAAACAAAAACUAUACUACAAAAAAAAAAAAAGAAGAAAAAGAAAAGAGAACUCUUAAAUUUUCUCACACACUAUACUAUGAUUUUGGGGAGUUUGGAACCAUCUAAAGAUUUCUUAAACCAUUUCACCAUUCUCUACAAAAAUCCAAUUCACGUUGGACUCAUAUCCAUCCUUUGCUCUAACUUUCUCCACAUUUCCAUCUGAUAGAAUUCAUGAGCUAAGACGAUUUGUGAAAUGAUUUUUUUAUUUCUCAAUCGUAAUAAACAUUGCAGUGUGUGUUUAUAUACAAUAAAUUAAUGUAAAUCGGAAUCUCAUGUCAAUUAACUUAACCAGUAAUCCAGCUACUCUAAUACCAUCACUUUUUAUUUUUUAAAUCUUUCUCAGAUCUACUAAUUUGAAACUUCAUUGAAAAAAACAAUUUUUAUCAGUUAACUAAAAAAAGGACAAUUGGAUAUAUCAAUUCUUACCACCGACUAAGUUGUUAAUUAAAAUAAGAACCAUAUACUCCUAGAGAUUACCAGCUCAUUUGAACAAUAGAAAAUAUUUAAUGUUCUUUAAACACAAAUAGUCAACUAAUCCCCUAGUAACGACAAAAUAUCAAUGAAACCUUCACAAUACUCUCCUAGUGAAAACCCUAUAAAUAGACACUAAACACUUUUUGACAAAAAAAAAAAAAAGACACUAAACACUUAACAUUUCUCUCCACCCAUCUCAAACAAACUUAAACGCACUACUACUUCUUGAGCCUUUUCCACUCCACAAAACAAAAUGGCUCCAAGAACCUCCCUUGCACUCUUCCUUUCUCUCAACCUCCUCUUCUUCACUUACACCACUGCGACCACAGGUACUUGUCCUAGAGACGCCCUCCAGAUCGGUGUUUGCGUCAGUGUGCUUAACAUAGUGGACCUAACAGUGGGAAACCCAGCCGUACAGCCAUGCUGCUCUCUCAUCCAAGGCUUAGCUGACCUUGAGGCUGCUGUCUGCCUUUGCACUGCUCUCAAGACUAGCAUUCUUGGAACCAACGUCCUUAACCUUCCCAUCAAUCUCAGCGUUCUCCUCAAUGUUUGCGGUAGGAAAGCUCCAACGAACUUCCAGUGCGCUUAAGUUCAAAACAAACUUAUGGCAUACCUA